rnacentral:lncRNA from 1 species
AGAAUGUAAACAUUUUAAGCCCAGUUUACUAUCUUAUGGUUUAGCACUUUGGAUAUCUCAAUUUUAAAAGCACACACACACACACACACACACACGACAUAUCACAGGAUUGUGUGCAGAUAUAAAAGGAUAUAGCUUAAUUUUCAACAUUUUACAAAUCUACUUGUCAUAAGUUCUAGCAAAGCUUUGACAAUCUUAUGUUUCUCCUUCACCACUCGAGUUCAAUUCUAAAUUGCUACUAUAAAAAACUAUAGUUUCCCUAUUAACAUUUAAAAUUGGAAGUUUUCUAAUUCUUCUAGUGACAAGCCCCACUCACCAACCCUCCUCUUCCAGGUUAGGCCUUAUAAUGAUGCUCAAACAGGUCUGAACUCAAAGGCUCCAGUGAUCCUGUUGCAGUUCCCUCCCUGUGUGCCUGGGAAGACUGGCAUGUGCAUCCUUGCCCAGUCCCAGUGUGAUUAUCUGACGUCAGUGACGUUGACAAUAAGAUAACUAGUUAUAUCACUUUGUUUAACGUUUCGUUUAUACUCUUAGGUAUUUAGUGUGUGAAUUACACAAUUCUAAUAAAACAUCAUGCCUUUCUUUACAUCUCAGUUUUCAACUUCAUGUUAUAGAAUGCUUCAAAGAUGCUUUAAUGAAAAUUAUUAAGAAUAUAUAGAUUUGUAUGUCAAUUUAUACUUCAAAAUCCAUAUAUUUGUCAUAUUUAUUUUUUUAUUUGCAUGGCCAAAUGAUAUUUAAAAUGAGCCCCCCCCCCCAAAUAUCUGGUAACUGUUAAAACUCUUGUCACUUAUCCAUAUUAAGGGUUCGUUAAAAAGUAGUUAAAAUUGUAUGCAUUUUUAUAUUACUAUGAUCUUUGUGUGUAUCACAUUUCUAAAUAUUCAUUAUUAAAUUGUUACUUUUUAAAACUUUC